rnacentral:lncRNA from 12 species
GGCCAAGGUUCCUCUGUUAGCUCUGCUUUUCAUUGUUUAAGUGACAGUUAUGUAAGUUUAGCUGGAUUUUUGUGACUUAAGCCAGUUUAUAUAUCCUCAUUUUGUUUCCAACUCUUUUACUCUGUAGGUAAAGUCAGACUAUGAUCGGCUCAGAAAGGCUUUUGGUUGUGUGAGUCAAGAGAGGGACACUGCCAGGCAGGAGAAGGCUCAGCUCCAAGACAAACUGGAGAACCUUGAGCAGGUCCUGAAGAUCUUUGUCCGCAACCUGAAAACAGAAGGUUAGAACAGUGAUUAGUGGCUUGUUUUACAAUGUAUCUUUAAGAAAUCAGGUGUUUCUACAAAUGUGUGACAAACAUGUCCUAAUUCUAAUUUCCUUUUUUUUCUCUAUUUCUGUUUUUA